rnacentral:rRNA from 1 species
AACGAACGCUGGCGGCGUGCCUAACACAUGCAAGUCGAACGAGAAAGGGGCUUCGGCUCCGAGUAAAGUGGCGCACGGGUGAGUAACACGUAGGUAACCUGCCACUAAGAUUGGGAUAACCUGUCGAAAGACGAGCUAAUACCAAAUGAGACCACAGUCUCUUCGGAGACAGGGGUCAAAGGUAGCCGCUAUUUAUAAGCUAUCGCUCAGAGAUGGGCCUGCGUACCAUUAGCUAGUUGGUGAGGUAACGGCUCACCAAGGCAAAGAUGGUUAGCUGGUCUGAGAGGAUGAUCAGCCACACUGGAACUGAGACAAGGUCCAGACUCCUACGGGAGGCAGCAGUGGGGAGUAUUGCGCAAUGGGCGAAAGCCUGACGCAGCAACGCCGCGUGAGUGAUGAAGGCCUUCGGGUCGUAAAGCUCCGUCGGAGGGAACGAAUGCUCUUGAGGUUAACAGCCUCGGGAAGUGACGGUACCCUCAAAGGAAGCACCGGCUAACUCUGUGCCAGCCGCCGCCGUAA